GACGAACGCUGGCGGCGUGCUUAACACAUGCAAGUCGAACGGAAAGGCCCUGCUUUUGUGGGGUGCUCGAGUGGCGAACGGGUGAGUAACACGUGAGUAACCUGCCCUUGACUUUGGGAUAACUUCAGGAAACUGGGGCUAAUACCGGAUAGGAGCUCCUGCUGCAUGGUGGGGGUUGGAAAGUUUCGGCGGUUGGGGAUGGACUCGCGGCUUAUCAGCUUGUUGGUGGGGUAGUGGCUUACCAAGGCUUUGACGGGUAGCCGGCCUGAGAGGGUGACCGGCCACAUGGGGACUGAGAGACGGCCCAGACUCCUACGGGGGGCAGCAGGGGGGAAUAUUGCACAAUGGGCCGGAGCCUGAUGCAGCAACGCCGGGUGCGGGAAGACGGCCUUUGGGGUGAAAACCGCUUUCGGCUGUUACGAAGCGUGAGUGACGGUAAUGGGUAAAGAAGCACCGGCUAACUACGUG
rnacentral:rRNA from 1 species